UACAGGGGGUGCUAGCGUUGUUCGGAAUUACUGGGCGUAAAGGGCGCGUAGGUGGCUCUGUAAGUCAGGAGUGAAAUCCCGGAGCUUAACUCCGGAAUUGCUUUUGAAACUACAGGGCUCGAGUAUGUUAGAGGAUGUCGGAAUUCCUAGUGUAGAAGUGAAAUUCGUAGAUAUUAGGAAGAACACCGGUGGCGAAGGCGGACAUCUGGGACAUAACUGACACUGAGGCGCGAAAGCGUGGGGAUCAAACAGG
rnacentral:rRNA from 1 species